CCUCCCUCCCUCCCUCAGGAUGGAGGCGAGAACCCCCAGCAAACCCAGGCUGGCCUGGGUGGAGGAGGACGAAGCUGGCCCGGCUCCCAGCUCCGGGCUGAAGUGCAAUGAGAUGCGUAAAGGUGAGUGCGGGGGUGCUGCGGGCAGGGGCUGCCCACCCUGCCCCGUCCCACGCUUGCAGUCCCCAGCCAGGCAUCGGCCCCGCAGUGCAGAGCCCAGGGAACAGCCUCACCACAGCAUCUCUGGGCCAGGAGCUCCCUCUUCCCCUGGUGCCGGGUGUCUCUCCUUGGGGCACACUGGGCCUCCCUCCCAUGCUGCCCUCCCGCAUCGCAUCCUCGCCCCUGGGGUGCACGGGCGGCACCGGUGUCCCAGCCUAGAGCCAGGGCUGGGGACAUCCCUGAAGCUGGGCAGAGGGCUCGUGUACUCCCCACUGCCUGCCCUCCAGUCCUGCCUGCUCUCUCUUGGCCAGGUUCAUGCAUCUCAACUGCGGACGUGUCCAGCGAAGAAAAGAACAGCCUGGACACCAUCGAGGCGUCCAUCAGGAGCAGACCAAAGGUAUCCACGGCCACUUCCAUGCGGCUGUGCCUGUGUCUCCUGCACGGUCUUUCUGCCUCCGUCCCGUACUCAGAAGGUGCUGGGGGCUCUUACGGACCCCCCAUCUGUCUCUCCCGCCUGACGAUGUCUGUCCAUCUGUCACCUCCCCGGCUGGCAGCAAGAAGACCAGAAGCUGAGGUUUCUGGAGUCCGUCUGCACCAUCUGCACCACCAGCAGCAGGCACUCCUUCCUGUGGGGCACGCUGCUGCUCUUCCAGCCUGAGCUGGCUGAGACCCUCGAGGUGAGGGGAUGGCUGGUCAGGCUGAGGCAGGGUCAAUGGCACAGCCCUGGGGCAGGAGAGGGCUCAGCCAGGCAGGGAGUGCGAGCGGAGCGAGCGCCGCUCUGGGGCUGCAUCCUUGGCGAUGCUCCAGAGCCACCUGCAUGGCCCGGCUGCAGGUCCCUUGGCCAGGCUGUGUUCUGUGACGGGCGCAGCCCUUCCUGCUACGUGGCUGGGACUACUGCUAAUGGUUGGGGGUGCCAGGAUGGGCUCUGACAGCCCCCCGGGCUAUUGCUGGAUGAAGGAGCUGCCCUGUCCUGACCCAUCCACACUGCUGUGCCCCUCAGGUGCUGCUGCAAGAGGAGCCCGUUGAUCACCUGGACACCACGGUGCGGCAGCAAGUCAUGCUGACCAUCGCUGCCAUGAGCAGAGCGGGGCUCCUUCUGCAGGAGAAGAACAGCCUCCUGAAAGCCUGCUUCUGCAGCAUCUUCCACCUGCCUCCGCAGGGCAGCCAGGGACCCGAGGCUUGGCUCUACUGCAAGACCCUGUCGGCGAUGGACAGCAUGUUACAGGUGCUGGUGUGCAGUGCCAGCACCCUCGGCAUCCAGGAGCUGCAGAACAUCUUCAAGGUCUGGCCUUGGCACAGGGUCCCCCUGGGCAGUGACCUCUGGUUUGAGUAUCCC